GAGACCGAAAGCGGAAGUCACGGGGAGCUGGCGGCUGGGUUGGGCGGCGGAUCUGCAGAGUUUCGAGGUUCUGUCAAGUUCGCUGCCCGCCGCCCAACUUGAAGCCUCAUUUACCUUUCGGCUACCUGAUUUGGAUAAAUGGAGAAAAACCGGGGCCUCUAACUCAUAAUGCCCUCCCGCGUUCAAGAUGCCAGUUUUGGGGCGGAGAUUUCUAAAUUAAAGCCUACAUCCCGCGCGGGAAUAUCUGCUGGUAAUUUCUCGCCUGCCAGAAAACUCCUUUGAUCUCUGGCUGUGGAGACUCGGGACCCCUACCCAAGUAUGGGACACUGCCUCCGUUGGGGUUAUCUCAGAUCAAUGGAAUGGGAACAAGCUAUCCGGCCUGGGCGCCGUUCACGUCUCACAUCUGAGAUCGUAACACCGACUGUGCUUAGGACCUCAGCAAUAACUUUUUGCCGUCUCUGGCCCACUGACUCCUCUCAAAAUGUCCCCUGGUCCUUUUGCUAUUCACGUAUUUCUGUGGGCUUGAGAUUUGCUUAACUCCUAUAUUGGCAAAAGGCCACUUGAAAUCGCUAGCAGAUACUCGAUAACCUGAAAGGAAGCUUCAAGGUAUGCAUCUUGCUGCCACGGGCUGAACUCUCAGAAGUUAGAGCCAUGGACAUAUUCUCCAAUAUAUUUCUCAAGCACAUUCUGUAGUGCUUUAUCAAAUCAAAGUGCUUUGUGAAAAUAUAAGGUAUCUCAUCAACUUAGACUAUGAACUCCUUA
rnacentral:lncRNA from 10 species